rnacentral:tRNA from 1 species
CCCGUGUUCCUGGGCUUUCGCCAUGCCGACGAUGCCCGCGUUGCGGCAUGAGCGACAACGAAACGGAGGACGAGGA